GAUGAACGCUGGCGGCGUGCCUAAUACAUGCAAGUCGAGCGAACAGACGAGGAGCUUGCUCCUCUGACGUUAGCGGCGGACGGGUGAGUAACACGUGGAUAACCUACCUCUAAGACUGGGAUAACUUCGGGAAACCGGAGCUAAUACCGGAUAAUAUAUUGAACCGCAUGGUUCAAUAGUGAAAGACGGUUUUGCUGUCACUUAUAGAUGGAUCCGCGCCGCAUUAGCUAGUUGGUAAGGUAACGGCUUACCAAGGCAACGAUGCGUAGCCGACCUGAGAGGGUGAUCGGCCACACUGGAACUGAGACACGGUCCAGACUCCUACGGGAGGCAGCAGUAGGGAAUCUUCCGCAAUGGGCGCAAGCCUGACGGAGCAACGCCGCGUGAGUGAUGAAGGUCUUCGGAUCGUAAAACUCUGUUAUUAGGGAAGAACAAAUGUGUAAGUAACUAUGCACGUCUUGACGGUACCUAAUCAGAAAGCCACGGCUAACUACGUG
rnacentral:rRNA from 1 species